UAAAGCGUGCGCAGGCGGUUUUGUAAGUCUGUCGUGAAAUCCCCGGGCUCAACCUGGGAAUGGCGAUGGAGACUGCAAGGCUAGAGUUUGGCAGAGGGGGUAGAAUUCCACGUGUAGCAGUGAAAUGCGUAGAGAUGUGGAGGAACACCGAUGGCGAAGGCAGCCCCCUGGGUCAAAACUGACGCUCAUGCACGAAAGCGUGGGGAGCAAACAGGAUUAGAUACCCUGGU
rnacentral:rRNA from 1 species